CUGGUCUUAGUCAGAGGGGAAUCAUCCAUCUCAGCAGUCAGAAACUAAGUUCCAGCUAGCCUCACCACCAUCACUUAAAGUGCCCUGGGGUCCAAUUUAGUUUAUUUAAACCUCAAAAUAGGACCCCAGAGCACUUUAAGCCAGAGGGCUGCAAUUACUGGACAAGUCCUGCUGCUGUGCUGGGCUCCAAGCUGGUGGUCUUGUGGUGGACACAACCCAGUGAAAUACUAGCUGGAGCGGCCAAGGGAGUGCUUGCGUCCAACUCCAGGCAGUACAUCUGGCAGCUCUGGGGAAAGAAGGUAGAGUGAAGAAGACUUGGUGUUGCAGCUUGGAUACCAGCUCAGCCACAGUAAGGGAUACAAACCUUGGAAGGCUUUACACAAGCAAAGGGCAGGUGAUCUAAGAGAAUCAUUGUUUUAAUUGAGAAAGAGACAUUUUCGACAAAGUUAUUAACAGCCAUGCUGCUUGAAUUCUGCUGAGAAACAAGAGAGAAGGAAAAUCCUGAAUAUCAAGAUGGUGAAAAACAUUCAUUCUCCAGAAAAAAAUUCAGGGACAUUUCAGAAAACUCAGAGGUCUGCAAUUUGCAGUUGCUACAAGGAGGUCUGGUUCCUUUAAGCAGAUAAUGAAGAAUUACACUGGAAAAAUAGGAUCUGGUGUUGCCUACCCUCAUUGUUAUAGAGGUCUCUGAGUGGACGUCCAACUUGUUAAUUCCCAGUGCUGAAAUCUGAGCAACCCACCAUGCUGGCUAAAACAGCGGCAUCAAGAUUCUUGGUGCUUUUCUGCCCGGGAGUCUCCAGUCUGGUUUCCCUCCUGAAUCUCUUCUUCAAUCAGCUGAAUGGGUGACUCUGCCUUCAUGGAGCUCCAAAUGCUGACCAAAAGGGGAGCCAGUCCCGUUUACUCUGCAUCGAGAACUGCUGUGCCAGGGCACUGGCAAAACUGCCACAAGCCACAAGAGUCGCACUGGCAACCCGUGAGGAUCCUCCACUGGAAUCUCCUGGUCUGUGAGCAACAAAAAUUCAUCUGAAAGUGUGGCAUCCUCUCCUCUGCACUUUCACUGGGAGCUACAAGCCUGAGCUACUAGUGAUCAGCCAUCUUGGAUCUCUCUAGAACUUUUCUUAACAAUUACUAUCAAAUAGGUGGGCUGAAUUAAUACACACACACACACACACACACACACACAAACACACACAAACCUACUUCUCUACAGCUUUAUCUCCUCUGGAGAGGGAGUGAAACAAGAGCUGGUAAAAACACCAUGAGAUUUCCUCCCAUUUAGAAUAUGCCUUUUUCUUAAUUGGGCGUUCCCCUAGUUGCUGUAGACCUCUGACUGCCUUUCAGAUUACUGAGGUUAUUUUCUCCUAGUUUCUUGUAGCGUUUGAUAUUUCCAUGACAAAACUGAGACUUUGGUUUUCCUAAUCUGACAUUUUGCUUAUGUUGUCUUUCAUUUUUAAAUGAUAAAUUUAGUUCCCUUUUAUUUACAGUAGUGACUGGUUUAUGUGAAUUUGUUUCUAGUAUUUUGUGUGUUUUCUGUUUUGAAUUUUUUAAAUUUUAUUCCCUUUUGGUUUUAUUGGAAGGAUUAAGUUUUUCUUACAACCACCACACUCCUUUUAUUCCUCUAGUGAUUGGAAGAUAUAUUCUAGUCUAAAGUGAAACAAUCCCUUCAAAAUCUUCCUGAAUGUGAUAAGAUACUUAGACCUUUUUGACCUCCCUCUAGUUACAUAUUGAUAUAUAAUAUUUGUGCUACUAUUUCAGUUUACCUUGCUUUUAUAA